AUUUUGCCACGGAGUUAUUUUUUUGGUUAUAAAUCUAAAUAAUAAAGAAUUGGCGUUUCGAUUUUGGAGAUAUGCGCUCCGGCGCUUCCUAUUUCUGAUCCCUUCUCCUUUACUUCAACGGCGAUGUUAAUGAUCCGUCGAAAGCUACGGCACGGCUCCUGCUUCUCUGUUCGUCAACGACGUUGUUCCCAGCUUGUGAGAGGUGAAGCUGAUCUUCAGGUUAAUUCAUUUAUGCAAAGUGAGGCAAUAUAGAGCACGAGAGGAAGGAAAUAAUGAGCUCAUGGGUUUGCUCUUACGUGACUCGAAACGUCGUAACCGCCGAUCAUCCACAUCCUUUCUCAUCAUCCCAACAAUUUGGUUCUCCGCCACGUAGAGCAUCCGUCAGGUUACCCUUAACAUCUACGCCGAAGUUUCAGCUACUUAAACUCCGAAAGUUCCAAUCUUUAUCGUCGACCCGUGAAGGAGAAGAAGACUCCGAGUCAGUCGUACAAACCCUCAAUAUUCCAGACGAGUGGUUUCUCCCUUCCAAGGCCAUCGAGGCUUCUCAUGUGUCCACAUAUACGAGGUGUACGACAAACGAGGGCUCACAAAAUUCACUGGUUUGUUUUCUUUACUGAACAAAUCAUUGGUUUGUUGAUCCAAAAAAAAAAAUCAUUGGUUUGUUUCUACGACAAGCGAGUUCAUGUUUAAGUUUUUCGACAGAAAUUCUGUGUGUGCGCGUGUUUUGAUUUAUACAUUUGGUCGCAACGUAAAGAUUUCUAAAAGAUAGAGUCCAAUCAACAAGGAGAAUUAUCUUUCAUACCUUAUUGUCCCUGUGAUAACCCACAUGUUCCCCGCAAUUUAUCAGGGUUUGAUUAUGAACAUUUAUUAGUCAAUGCUGUAGACGCCUGUGAGAUACGUUCAGAUCCUCUCUGGAUUACUAGACCAUUGUUCUUUGAUGGCUACGACUGCUCUAAUCUGACGGCUACAAUGAAAGUUAUUUGGUUGCUAGCACUAACAAAGGCUGUAAGGCUAUGUACGUCUCAGGCGGAGCUGUCUCAGGCGGAGCUACCAGUACGGUUCUCAAAGACGGUACAACUAAAGCAAAUGUUAUCCGGUUUGUUUUGUGCCAACGUGCUACAGAGCUUAAGUUUCCUUCGAGAAUCCAUAUCACUUCGAAACAUUUCGCUGCCAUUUUCUACAGGUCCACCAAGAUGUAAACUUUAUUUAUGUUUGUGUGGUUUGAUUCAAGAUUGAAACUUUUGCUGAUGAAAUAUAGAUUCUGUGGAUUUAUCUCAAGUAGAUUUACGAGGCUACAAAGCGUUCACUGUACAUUGCAGGGAAAAAGCUUAGGUAAGAUUCAGUUGUAACAAUGGGGAUGAACAUGGUAACCAAAGUGAACUGGAUCGAGGGACGUGGCAAAUCAGUAGUUUAAAAGGCAGUUAUCAAAGGAGAGAUCGUGAACAAAAUGUUAACAAGUGAAAACGAGUGUGGCUGUCUUGGUGGAGCUCAAUAUGCUCAAGAACUUCACCCUCUAUGCUGUUGGAGGCUCUCUAGGUGGAUUCAGCACUCACGCCAGCAACAUAGUGUUUGAUGUAUUCAUAGCUACUUGCCAAGAUCAAGCUUAAAACAUGGAGAGCUCUCAAUGUAUCACAAUGAUGGAAGCCAUUAAUGGGAAAGAUAUACAUAUCUCUAUCACUACACCAGUUUACAUUUUUAGGUUGGGACAGUGAGAGAAAGAACAUAGUUUCCGUCUCAAUCGACUGCUAUGCGUUAAAGGAAGGAGCAUGGAAUCACUGGGGAUGAACUCAGGGAGGGUAGCAAUGAUAGUGGCAUGAGCAGUUUUGGCAUGAGAGUUAUCUCUAAUAUCAGCAAUUGCAGCUGGACAAUAUAUCUCUAGAGCAACGAAAUGGAUGAUAACAACGUUAUCUGAAUCUUACCUUUACAAAAGAUUGAGCAUUUCAACAUAGUGGAAAACACAUUGCACUUUUAGUUUGUACCUCUACCUUUUCAAGAAGUUGGAGGAAGCAAGAGCGUGUAAAUUAGAAAUGUGUAUGUUAUUUGGAUUACAUAUGAAAAUAUAUUCACGCCAGCACAUAAUUAUUCUUGGUC